rnacentral:rRNA from 1 species
UACGGAGGGAGCUAGCGUUGUUCGGAAUUACUGGGCGUAAAGCGCGCGUAGGCGGCUUUGUAAGUUAGAGGUGAAAGCCCGGGGCUCAACUCCGGAACUGCCUUUAAGAUUGCAUCGCUUGAAUCCGGGAGAGGUGAGUGGAAUUCCGAGUGUAGAGGUGAAAUUCGUAGAUAUUCGGAAGAACACCAGUGGCGAAGGCGGCUCACUGGACCGGUAUUGACGCUGAGGUGCGAAAGCGUGGGGAGCAAACAGGG